rnacentral:rRNA from 1 species
CGGCAACGCCGCGUGAGCGAUGAAGGCCUUCGGGUCGUAAAGCUCUGUUGUUAGAGAAGAACAAGUACGAGAGUAACUGCUCGUACCUUGACGGUACCUAACCAGAAAGCCACGGCUAACUACGUGUCAGCAGCCGCGGUAAUACGUAGGUGGCAAGCGUUAUCCGGAAUUAUUGGGCGUAAAGCGCGCGCAGGCGGUCUCUUAAGUCUGAUGUGAAAGCCCACGGCUCAACCGUGGAGGGUCAUUGGAAACUGGGAGACUUGAGUGCAGGAGAGGAAAGUGGAAUUCCACGUGUAGCGGUGAAAUGCGUAGAGAUGUGGAGGAACACCAGUGGCGAAGGCGGCUUUUUGGCCUGUAACUGACGCUGAGGCGCGAAAGCGUGGGGAGCAAACAGGAUUAGAUACCCUGGUAGUCCACGCCGUAAACGAUGAGUGCUAGGUGUUGGGGGUUCCACCCUCAGUGCUGAAGUUAACACAUUAAGCACUCCGCCUGGGGAGUACGACCGCAAGGUUG